UGGGGAAUAUUGCGCAAUGGGGGAAACCCUGACCCAGCAACGCCGCGUGAAGGAUGAAGUAUUUCGGUAUGUAAACUUCGAAAGAAUAGGAAGAAUAAAUGACGGUACUAUUUAUAAGGUCCGGCUAACUACGUGCCAGCAGCCGCGGUAAUACGUAGGGACCAAGCGUUGUUCGGAUUUACUGGGCGUAAAGGGCGCGUAGGCGGCAUGACAAGUCACUUGUGAAAUCUCUGGGCCUAACCCAGAACGGCCAAGUGAUACUGUCGCGCUAGAGUGCAGAAGGGGCAAUCGGAAUUCUUGGUGUAGCGGUGAAAUGCGUAGAUAUCAAGAGGAACACCUGAGGUGAAGACGGGUUGCUGGGCUGACACUGACGCUGAGGCGCGAAAGCCAGGGGAGCAAACGGGAUUAGAUACCCAAGUAGUCCCUGAG
rnacentral:rRNA from 1 species